UCCCUCGUCUAAUAAUCUCCCUUCUUCUCGGGGACACAGUCCCUUUUGAGAAAACCGAGUGUCCGAAGCAACUUUUCGCCGCCUUGAAUACUGCAGCAUGGAAUAACAAUAUAGGAUUUCGGUUCUAUUAUUUUGUUGGUUCCUUCUGUAGGACUGAAAUAAUGAUUAAUAGGGACAGUCGGGGGCAUUCGUAAAGU
rnacentral:rRNA from 1 species